UCCGUAGGGGGCAAGCGUUGUCCGGAAUCAUUGGGCGUAAAGCGCGUGUAGGCGGCUUGGUAAGUCCGCUCUGAAAGCCCGGGGCUCAACCCCGGGAGGCGGGUGGAUACUGUCAGGCUCGAGUCCGGAAGAGGCGAGUGGAAUUCCUGGUGUAGCGGUGAAAUGCGCAGAUAUCAGGAGGAACACCAAUGGCGAAGGCAGCUCGCUGGGACGUGACUGACGCUGAGACGCGAAAGCGUGGGGAGCAAACAGG
rnacentral:rRNA from 1 species